GGCGGAGGGGCCAGGCCGUGCAGGUGGGCAGCACCUGGCAGGGGGUGCCCGUGGCUGCAGCUGACACACAACCUCAGCCCACAGCACAGCCCCUCCAGGGCUACGUGCCACCACCUCCCGGCUGCUGAAAUGCCUUGGAGAAGCCGGGGUGAGAGGAGUCACUCUGCUCCCCACGUUCCUUCUGACGCCUGAUGGGAAUCUGGAGCAGGUGUCCUCAAUCCAUGGUUUUGGAGAAGAAAAGCACCCACAGCCAUCACCCAGGGACCAGCUGCCCAUCACUGCAGCACUGGCAAGCCUCCACUUUGGGAGGAUAACGAGCAUUUUUGGCUGCAGCAUAAAACUCCAUAAAACACCACGAACUGCUGGUUCCAGGCUUCUCCCAUCGCUGCUCCCGGCAUCUGUGGAAGGGAAAACUUCCCAGCGUAACAUCCACAACCUCUUAAGUAAAUAGUCUUUAAUGUUGCACUAAAGGGUUGUAGUCUUAAUAUGUAAAAUCUGUUUAGCUUUUUUAAUUCUUGGAUGGCGCUGUGGAAAG
rnacentral:lncRNA from 12 species